GACGAACGCUUUCGGCGUGCUUAACACAUGCAAGUCGAACGGAAAGGCCCUGCUUUUGUGGGGUGCUCGAGUGGCGAACGGGUGAUUAACACGUGAGUAACCUGCCCUUGACUUUGGGAUAACUUCAGGAAACUGGGGCUAAUACCGGAUAGGAGCUCCUGCUGCAUGGUGGGGGUUGGAAAGUUUCGGCGGUUGGGGAUGGACUCGCGGCUUAUCAGCUUGUUGGUGGGGUAGUGGCUUACCAAGGCUUUGACGGGUAGCCGGCCUGAGAGGGUGACCGGCCACAUUGGGACUGAGAUACGGCCCAGACUCCUACGGGAGGCAGCAGUGGGGAAUAUUGCACAAUGGGCGGAAGCCUGAUGCAGCAACGCCGCGUGCGGGAUGACGGCCUUCGGGUUGUAAACCGCUUUCGCCUGUGACGAAGCGUGAGUGACGGUAAUGGGUAAAGAAGCACCGGCUAACUACGUGCCAGCAGCCGCGGUGAUACGUAGGGUGCGAGCGUUGUCCGGAUUUAUUGGGCGUAAAGGGCUCGUAGGUGGUUGAUCGCGUCGGAGGUGUAAUCUUGGGGCUUAACCCUGAGCGUGCUUUCGAUACGGGUUGACUUGAGGAAGGUAGGGGAGAAUGGAAUUCCUGGUGGAGCGGUGGAAUGCGCAGAUAUCAGGAGGAACACCAGUGGCGAAGGCGGUUCUCUGGGCCUUUCCUGACGCUGAGGAGCGAAAGCGUGGGGAGCGAACAGGCUUAGAUACCCUGGUAGUCCACGCUGUAAACGGUGGGUACUAGGUGUGGGGUCCAUUCCACGGGUUCCGUGCCGUAGCUAACGCUUUAAGUACCCCGCCUGGGGAGUACGGCCGCAAGGCUAAAACUCAAAGGAAUUGGCGGGGCCCCGCACAAGCGGCGGAGCAUGCGGAUUAAUUCGAUGCAACGCGUAGAACCUUACCUGGGUUUGACAUGGAUCGGGAGUGCUCAGAGAUGGGUGUGCCUCUUUUGGGGUCGGUUCACAGGUGGUGCAUGCCUGUCGUCAGCUCGUGUCGUGAGAUGUUGGGUUAAGUCCCGCAACGAGCGCAACCCUUGUUCACUGUUGCCAGCACGUUAUGGUGGGGACUCAGUGGAGACCGCCGGGGUCAACUCGGAGGAAGGUGGGGAUGACGUCAAGUCCUCAUGCCCCUUAUGUCCAGGGCUUCACGCAUGCUACAAUGGCUGGUACAGAGAGUGGCGAGCCUGUGAGGGUGAGCGAAUCUCGGAAAGCCGGUCUCAGUUCGGAUUGGGGUCUGCAGCUCGACCUCAUGAAGUCGGAGUCGCUAGUAAUCGCAGAUCAGCAACGCUGCGGUGAAUACGUUCCCGGGGCU
rnacentral:rRNA from 1 species